AUGAAUUUAAAUAAAACACAUUUACCAAAUUUAUUUCUGGUCUUUUCUUUUACGUAUUUUUCUUGUUGAUCACUCCACCUCCGUACGCUGCCAAGUCCCAAUCGAAAAAGAAAGAAGCUUCCUUGGGUCACCGGCCGGCUUGGCUUGGAUUCGCCUCCAUCAUCAAAUUUGACUUCCAGCGGGCACCAACAAAACAUAUGGUGGUAGCCAUAAUUGUCAAUUGGUGUCAGCUGGCUGUCUCUUUCGUUGACAGAGGCGAAUUAAAACCAUCAGAUGGCGCUGGCGGUCUUCUAUCCGCUAACAGAUGUCGCUAGGGUCGCACAUUAGGCCGCACACUACAAACCAAACCAUCCUUUGAACAUCACUGUUAAAGGAUGGGAGGGAGAAAAAUAACAAUUUCUCUCAGUGUAUUCCAUGCCAUAAAGUGUAUAUGCUCCUUACGCCAAACCUAUCUCACUGUGUGUAGGUCCCAUUAAUAAUGUGUAAGUCUUCCUCAACUAGUAUACCUUGAGUUAACCAUUUUUAUACCUUACGGAUAUACCUUCAUCAAAUUAAUUGGAAGCAAUUGCAGCAGACGGACGACGCGGGAAAUAAUUUUCACCAACAAAGCAAAAAAAAAGGAAACCCACGUCAUGGACCUGCGAACUCGCAACGGCUGCCUCGCUUGAGAGCAUGAGCCAUGCCAUUUGUGGUCUAACGCUGUGGUGUGCCCAAGAUAAACGAACUGGUAAGUAUCAAAUAGAUGGUGCACCUUGGUGUAUCCUCUAUGACUUCUCCUAGCCGCCUCUCAUCACUCACCACGGCAUCCCUCGCCCCAUGUCCAAGAUGCCAUAGCGAUAGAAAGACGGGUCGACCCGACAUACACCGAGGUCGUCAAGAGGCUCUACCGUGGUUGAGUGAUCUCCUGGGGCCGGCAUCGAGAGAUGACAAUCUCUCGUCCGGACAAAACGCCUUCCGCCGCAACUCGCGUUCCAUGUCCAAGAUGCCAUAGUGAUAGAAAGACGGGUCACCCAUUGCGAGGUUGACAGCGAGCUCUCCGGCGGUCGAGGCACCCCAGAGGUUGGCAGAGAGAAGUAGCACGAAUCAGCGCGUAAUCUUGCGCACAUCACACCACGGGACCCCUCUUGGCGGUUCAGCACUCGCGAGAGCGUAAGACCACGAGUCCACUCCAACAACCUCACCUGGACCAUACGGGUCAUCUUAUGCUACAGUUUACCACAAGACGACGGCUGUUCUACAGCUUGUUCCUUACUGCUAUAGAGAUCCCUGGGACUUAAUUCCUCUGCUAUCUAUCACAGGGUACAACUAAAACUAACUAAACCUACAUUAGACCAUGGCUUAAUAUUGGAAACUCCCAGCUACGGAAAUGGAAUUUCAGGUUCGUAUCCAAAAUAUGUUAUCACGGAUGGGGUUAGUGACUUACAGCUGCGGCUUCAUAAACAGUUGAUAAAAAUUGGCAAUUCCACACAUAACAGGUGUCUAUAUUGUCCAUUGCUGUUGAUUGGUAAUUGGGAUCGUGACUGCUGCCUUCGGACUGUGCUCCAUGGCGACUACAUAAAGCUUUGCAAGUCUUUACCAUGUAGGACUCACAGGAGCUAGGAUUUAAAUUUAUUCGGAAUCGGACGGACAGGCAGAAAGUCAUAAUUUGGGCUAUUGGCUUUAAAACUAUUGUGGAAGAAGGUGGAAAGUGUCUACCAUUGUCUCCCGAGGAAGUCGCAUGGCUCAUCUGGACUCACAGCCACUUCGACACCAGACUUACUUCCCAUGGAGGCUUUGGACGACACUCUGUUAAUACAAAGUAUCAGUGCCUCUUCAAGCUUAGACGUCGCACUCGACUAGCUUGUCUUAUAAUCAAACUGCUGUCGGGACUUACGCAAAACAUCGAAGAAAACCACAAACACAAAUAUUAACAGCCACACAAUUGAAACGGUCAACCCGAUUGCUCGGGCCCCAUGUUGCGGGCGCCAUUUUUUGUCGUGUACCCAAGGGUCCACGUUGCCGUUGGAGUGAGGAGUCGGACUGGCGGGCGCUGGUCGCUGGCAUUCGAGCACCGGCUUUUGGCUCAGUCUUUGGGGCGCGGUUCUUUGCCAAUCCAACCCUCUGGCAAGGUGACAAAAAAAACAAAAUAAACAACCAGCUGUCGGUGGUACGAAACGGACGACAAUAGAACAUUAACAAAACACCCACUGGAACGAACUGGAGGACAUUACGGCUGUGGAAUUGCCUGGCGCCUAAAAUCCUUCAUGGCGCCUCAGGACUUUGCCCACCCCAACCAUGGCACCCCUCGUCCUGUAAUAUUAAGGGUACCCCGUAAUCCAUCACCUGUCUAUCUUUGCCGCUGCUCAGUCACUUACCCCAUAUUCCGAUGCUUUAGCCUUCCAUCAUCCUUUAGAAA